UGUAAAGUUUCAGUCUAUAAAUAAGAUGAACCGAAAGCAUUGCAGGGCAAACCUUCAUGUGUUGAAGCAAAAACUCUCUCUUGUCCACAACAAAUAUUUUGCUUAAUUAUUAAAAAAUAGGUAUAUUUCAAUGGAAAAAGCUAUGGAGGAACAAACCUUAGAAAUAUCAAACCUACCCGAACAGGUAUAUUUAUUUAUGAUUAUGAAUAGCUAAAUUCAUAAUUUCCA
rnacentral:lncRNA from 1 species